CCCUAGCCCUGAUGGGAGCGGCAUCCUUACUGGGCGGGGUUCGCCCAGUAAGAUAUAGCGGACAGCAGGAUUAGCU
rfam:Flavobacterium sp. LM5 Flavobacterium_sp_LM5_contig1, whole genome shotgun sequence.